rnacentral:rRNA from 1 species
CCGUUCAAUACUGCGGAGCUCGAGGGCAGAAGAGGGGGGUGGAAUUGCUGGUGUAGUGGUGAAAUGCGUAGAUAUCAGCAGGAACACCUGUGGCGAAAGCGGCCCCCUGGUCUGCUCCUGACACUCAGACGCGAAAGCUAGGGGAGUGAACGGGAUUAGAAACCCCGGUAAUCCUAGCCGUAAACGAUGGAUGCUAGGUGUGGGUGGUAUUGACCCCAUCCGUGCCGAAGCCAACGCGUUAAGCAUCCCGCCUGGGGACUACGGCCGCAAGGUUAAAACUCAAAGGAAUUGACGGGGACCCGCACAAGCAGCGGAGCGUGUGGUUUAAUUCGAUGCUACACGAAGAACCUUACCCAGGUUUGACAUGCAGGUAGUAGUGAAGCGAAAGCGGAACGAUCUUUCGGGAAGCCUGCACAGGUGCUGCAUGGCUGUCGUCAGCUCGUGCCGUGAGGUGUUUGGUUAAGUCCACUAACGAGCGCAACCCCUGUCGUCAGUUACAUGUGUCUGGCGAGACUGCCGGUCUUAAACCGGAGGAAGGUGGGGAUGACGUCAAGUCAGCAUGGCCUUUAUAUCUGGG